GACGAACGCUGGCGGCGUGCUUAACACAUGCAAGUCGAACGGAAAGGCCCUGCUUGCAGGGUACUCGAGUGGCGAACGGGUGAGUAACACGUGGGUGAUCUGCCCUGCACUUCGGGAUAAGCCUGGGAAACUGGGUCUAAUACCGGAUAGGAGCCAUUUUUAGUGUGAUGGUUGGAAAGUUUUUUCGGUGUAGGAUGAGCUCGCGGCCUAUCAGCUUGCUGGUGGGGUAAUGGCCUACCAAGGCGGCGACGGGUAGCCGGCCUGAGAGGGUGGACGGCCACAUUGGGACUGAGAUACGGCCCAGACUCCUACGGGAGGCAGCGGUGGGGAAUAUUGCACAAUGGGCGCAAGCCUGAUGCAGCGACGCCGCGUGGGGGAUGACGGCCUUCGGGUUGUAAACUCCUUUCGCUAGGGACGAAGCUUUUUGUGACGGUACCUAGAUAAGAAGCACCGGCUAACUACGUG
rnacentral:rRNA from 1 species